rnacentral:rRNA from 1 species
CGGCCAGACUCCUACGGGAGGCAGCAGUGGGGAAUAUUGGGCAAUGGGCGCAAGCCUGACCCAGCAACGCCGCGUGAAGGAAGAAGGCUUUCGGGUUGUAAACUUCUUUUAAGAGGGAAGAGUAGAAGACAGUACCUCUUGAAUAAGCCACGGCUAACUACGUGCCAGCAGCCGCGGUAAUACGUAGGUGGCAAGCGUUGUCCGGAUUUACUGGGUGUAAAGGGGGCGCAGACGGCGAUGCAAGCCAGGAGUGAAAGCCCGGGGCCCAACCCCGGGACUGCUCUUGGAACUGCGUGGCUGGAGUGCAGGAGGGGCAGGCGGAAUUCCUGGUGUAGCGGUGAAAUGCGUAGAUAUCAGGAGGAACACCGGUGGCGAAGGCGGCCUGCUGGACUGCAACUGACGUUGAGGCCCGAAAGCGUGGGGAGCAAACAGGAUUAGAUACCCGAGUA